GCUCCCUCCCAGCCCCGGCGAGCGGCUCGGGGCCACCGGGCCGGGAAGUGACCGGGCUGGGGAUGUUCGGGGUGCUCCUGUGGAGGGUGGUGCUGCUGGCUCCGUUUUUUGGGGAAAAAGAAAGGAAAAGCAGUGGUUGCUUGGCGGUCCUGGUUGUCAUGUCCUCACUGUGAUGUCCUCACUGUGAUGUCCUCACUGUGAUGUCCUCACUGUGAUGUCCUUCCUUCCUUCCAUGUCCUGCUCCCACCUGGGCUCUGCUGUCCCCAUUCCCCGUGCCUGAAGCAGCUCCCGGUGGUUCAGCCGCUGGGAGAGGAAGAUCAGCUCUGCAGCCCUUCACCAAGCCCGGCCUGAGGAAUUUCUGGGCUCUGCUACUUCAUCCCAGCCCUUCUCCAGCCUCUCCAAGUCCACCCUCAUCCCUGCCAGCAGGCACAGCCGCUCCUGCUCAGCAGAGAGCUGGAAGUGCACAGUGGAAGUUGAGCAUCCUCAGGAACACAUCCAGACCCGUGGAAACACAUCCCUGAUGCUGCACAGGACCCCUGAGCAGGACGUGCUCCCAGAGCAGCCAGAGAGUGGUAGAAGAGGAUGAUUUCCAGCUGGAUCAUCUCCCAAGCCUGACUGCUGAGGAGCAGCAGGAGGAGCAGCUGAGAUGCCCCCACAGUGGAUCUGUCACCCAAAGUAGAGGUAUCCCCUUAAAUCCAGGUAUUUCCUGCUGCCCGUGCUGUACCCUAAUCACAAAGCAGUGGGUUCAUCUCUUCCUGAAGGCUGAGCCAGAUGCUGCCUGUGAUUCCACCGUGCUCAGAAACCUCAGAGAUUUCAGUGCAGAAGUGUCCAGCUUCCCUUCCCCCAUGAAAUACCUGCAGGUCCCUGAUCCAGCUCUCAUUCUCCAGCUAAAAACCUGCAGUUCCCAGCUCCAGCUGUCCCUCUCCUGUGAAAUACCUGUGAUUCCCUGUCUUGGCAGAGCUCAGCUGCUGGAUCUGCUCCCUCCAAACCAGGCUGGAACACGUCAAACAGGAACAUUAACUGCUUUUCCAGCUGUCUGGAGCUCUGGAUCCAUAAAACACGCACUGAUGUUAAACCUCCCCACCUCACCAAGGAGAUGCCAGUGAUGCUGGGAUUCCUGGGUUGUUUUUUGGGGUUUUUUGAAAUGAUUUUUAGAGCUUGGAGGAAAUCCCUGCCAGGGGUGAUUUUUUUUCUGCAGGAGCUGCAAUGUGGGGCUGCUCCCCAGGCUGGGUGGGUGUCACUCCUUGGCAAAGGUAGGACAAGGCAAGUGGGACCACUGCCAACAGCAGCUGCAGCAGGUGCCACCCUGGAGAGGUGGUGUCACAGAAUCCCAGAGUGCUGUGGGUUGGAAGGGACCUUACAGAUCAUCCAGU
rnacentral:lncRNA from 1 species